rnacentral:snoRNA from 1 species
ACCAUCGUAUUUGAAUGGGAUCUGUUAUAUAGAAUCGUACGUCUGUGUUCUUAAUAAGCACUAAAGAGACAGGAGCUAAAGAUUGGUGGAUGAACCAGCAC